rnacentral:lncRNA from 1 species
GAGAGGAGCUUGGGAACGGUUGCUAGGGGUGGGUAAUGGGUAAAAAAAGGGGGGCGCCGGGGAGCGGAUAAGGAGGGUUAAGGGAGGGGGCGAGGGUGGGGAGCAAUGCAAAAGGUAAGGCCAGGUUACCGCGGCUCGGCCCCGAGUGGGCUGCGGCCGGGGGAGGGGCGAGAGAUACAUAUGUAUUUCUGUCUCCCUAGCACACCCCCUUCCCUCUAAGCGAUGGCUGAGAGGCGGUGCAUGCAGAUGGGGAGUAAGUUUCCUGAAGGGGAGGGUGGAUGCACGCGCGCGGCCCCGCGCUGCAAAUUUCCACCGGGGAGGGAGAGUGGCUGGAUGCGGAGAGUUUGGAGUUGCUUGCAGCGGAGGGCAGGAAGGGGAGCAGGGCCGGGAAAGGGGGCUGGCGGGCGCUAUAUCUGGGAGUAAGUUUCCAGGAACGGGAGAGCCUGCACGCUUGCUCGCUAGCCCUGGCUCUGGAGGAUGCUGAAGGAGGAAGACACAGAAGCAGGACGACUCUGAGAGAUUAA